GACGAACGCUGGCGGCAUGCCUAACACAUGCAAGUCGAACGAGACCUUCGGGUCUAGUGGCGCACGGGUGCGUAACGCGUGGGAACCUGCCCUUAGGUUCGGAAUAACUCCCCGAAAGGGGUGCUAAUACCGGAUAAUGUCUUCGGACCAAAGAUUUAUCGCCUUUGGAUGGGCCCGCGUUGGAUUAGCUAGUUGGUAGGGUAAAAGCCUACCAAGGCGACGAUCCAUAGCUGGUCUGAGAGGAUGAUCAGCCACACUGGGACUGAGACACGGCCCAGACUCCUACGGGAGGCAGCAGUGGGGAAUAUUGGACAAUGGGCGAAAGCCUGAUCCAGCAAUGCCGCGUGAGUGAUGAAGGCCUUAGGAUUGUAAAGCUCUUUUACCCGGGAUGAUAAUGACAGUACCGGGAGAAUAAGCUCCGGCUAACUCCGUG
rnacentral:rRNA from 1 species